CGGCGGACGGGUGAGUAAUGCCUAGGAAUCUGCCUGGUAGUGGGGGACAACGUUUCGAAAGGAACGCUAAUACCGCAUACGUCCUACGGGAGAAAGCAGGGGACCUUCGGGCCUUGCGCUAUCAGAUGAGCCUAGGUCGGAUUAGCUAGUUGGUGAGGUAAUGGCUCACCAAGGCGACGAUCCGUAACUGGUCUGAGAGGAUGAUCAGUCACACUGGAACUGAGACACGGUCCAGACUCCUACGGGAGCAGCAGAU
rnacentral:rRNA from 1 species